rnacentral:rRNA from 1 species
GGGCGUAAAGGGCACGCAGGUGGUCCUCCCAGUCAGAUGUGAAAGCAGGGGCUCAACCCCGGAAGUGCAUUUGAAACUAGGGGACUUGAGUAUGGUAGAGGAGAGGGGAAUUCCUGGUGUAGAGGUGAAAUUCGUAGAUAUCAGGAGGAACAUCGGUGGCGAAGGCGCCUCUCUGGACCAAAACUGACGCUGAGGUGCGAAGGGGUGGGUAGCGAACAGGAUUAGAUACCCUGGUAGUCCACGCAGUAAACGUUGUAUACUAGGUGUAGCGGGUAUUGA